rnacentral:ncRNA from 1 species
UGGCUUUGCAGCGGCUUUACCAACAAGCUGUUAUUUUUCAGUGUCACUUCACCGCUGGCAUGAGUAAUGUGGUUUUCUUCCAAGGGGAUAUCGAGAUGUAAGCGCCCACUUACAUUGCCUCCGACCUGCAAUUCUUGCAAUGUUUCCGCCACUGAAUCUUUAAGGGGGGUGCCAGUAAAGUAGUCAUGGACAGCGCGCCCUUCACCGACGACUUCAGCAUCGACAUACAGUUUUUCUUUCAGGUAAUCGGGAAUGAUGGCGCUGAUAUUGCUGCCGGUAACCUUACCCAGCAUGGCGUGAGGCGCGUUCAUCCAUAGACCGUCAUUGAGGAAAUUGAGGUCAAUGGCUAAAUUGUCCAACGCAGGCCAAUCGGGCUGGAACUGGAAGGUGGCGUU